CUUGUUUGGAAAAAUGCAAAGUUGUCCCUGUGCUUAACUAAUUAAGUGUAUAUGGGCCGCGCCAUAUUGAUGGAUUGAAGUGUUCAAUAAGCAGUAGGGAUUCCAAAAGGGAUUAUCAACUGAAGAUGCUAUACAUAAAUUAAACAAUGUACGAGUAUACUUACAGCUUGGAAUAGAAAUGUGUAUGUAACUGGUAUAUUUUGUGAUAUAGCCAAGGCGUGAAGGUGUGAAUUUGACAGUGGUUUUUCCACGGCCUAGGUGUGUUGUCUUACAACUUGUGCUGUCUGUGUGAGGCCUGAUUAUAUAUUCUAUUUGACCAAGGAUGUAUGAUGUGUAGUCAUCAUGAAUUUGUAAUGUGUUACAUGUUUUAUAUCCAGCCCUACAGGGAGAUGAUUGGAUCCAUGGAGUGAAAAUAAAUGUAAAUGUAGACUGAGACAGAAUUUUACUACAUACAAGAAAGGAUGAGAGAGGGAGUUAAUAAAGCUGUUCCACUAUAUAGUCAUACAGUCAUGAACACUCAUUUAUUGUAUUUGUAUGAUAUACAGUAGCCAAAAUAGCAUCACAUUGUGUAGCAAACACAAGUUCAUAUAAAAUACCCCUCAGAUCUAUGUUACAUGUAGUUUAUAAACAGAUCUAUAAAAAUAUUGUCAUCCUGGCAAAUGCAUGCUGCAUUAUUUUUCAGUUGUUAUAAAUUAUUCAAAACACUGAUCAGAAGCACCAUAUUUUAUGCAAUGUAGUGAUUAUGAACCAUGUACAUAUAUGUCAUAUGUACUGUAACUUCAUAAUAAACAGCACUGUUAAAUAGGCAACUAAAAAAAAAUCAUAAAACCUUUGGAGCAUUAUAGGUACUAAGAUCAUGAAAUGGAAAAUAUCAAGUUGUUACUGAAUUAUUCAGGAAAUGCACAUUUCUAGAGGUGGGAGCAAUAGUUUUCAGAACAUUUUAACAUUAUUCAUAGAAUCAUGAUCAUGACAUUUCUUCAGUCACAUAAAAUGACCUUGCCAUAUCAGGCACAAGAAACACUGGCUCUUUUGACCAGUAUUUAUUUGGUGUUUGAGAAGGUGAACAAAGAAGCAUCUUCACACCCAACCUAUCAACAGUUAUAGCUAAAGAUUUUGGGCAUUUCAACAAAAAUUAUACAUUAUCAUGGGAAUAUACUAUGAGGUUUACCUCGUAUUUAAAUAACAUCAGGAUAGAAAAUAUUAAACAUGGUUUAACAUGAAUAACUGGAAGAAUUUCUUGAAAAAAUAAGCAACAAACGUUUCAUAGUCCUUCUUACUGCCUAGAUGUAUCCGAGAAGUCAAAUAUAAUUUCUAUUUAAACAGUGAAGUGUAGAGAGCUUUUAAAGAACGCUUCCAUUCACUCCACAUACCUGCAAUAAGGCAUAGUUAUGGUAGUAAAUAUAAAACUGAUAAUUGCUAUAAAAAGUAUUCUAAGGAAACUUGCAUCACAGAGCUAGAGAUGUCAAUAUGACUACAAAGAGAUGUACUCCAAAACAUGGAUUAUGAUUCCAUAGAUUUGCCAAGUAAAGCCCCACUGGGCUAGCGAGGAGAAUAUUAAAAGGUUCACUGUAUUUUACAAUUUUUAUUUACAUGAAGUACACUCUAAAAUUCUUCUGAAGGUCAGAAUCUCUGGUGAAAAAUACCUGCUGAGCAUGUAAUCUCCUGCAGCAACUAUGUCAUGUGCCCUAUAUAAAUUUCAAAGCAGUUUGGACCUUACUUUGUGCUACAAAAAGCCUUCUUGAAUCAUUAAUUGAAACUCAUGCCCAAAUAUCACUGUAGCUCAAGAGAAAAUUUCUACUUCACAUUAGCAGAAUUAAAAUAUGUAAUGUAUAAAUGCUGAAGUGCUAAUAAAUACAAUUUGUAUCCUUCUCUUAUUAUGUCCAUUGCUGAAUGGCCUUACAUGGGUCAUAUUUCUGUUAAUAAACAGCAGGAAAGGAUAAAAUCUUGUAACUUUGGUUAUCAUUUCCACUCCACCAGUAACAGUUCUGAUUUACCAACUGGCUGCUCACUGUGGCGCUCAAAAUAGAAGCCACACAUGCUAUGCCAAAAUGGUAAAGUGAAUUACUAUCUAUCAGAAAAUUAAAAUUAAAAGGUAUACAAUCUUACAGAGUUCAAACUCAGAAACUUGAAUCUUCAAACUCAACUUUUUAAGAUGGGUCUAUGAUAUGUCCAAUAUCACACAUUUCAAGUUCCAAUAAAACGUGACUAUUGCUCCUAUUCCUAACAUGUGACUUUUGGGCUUCUACAGGAGUAAAAAACCCUGUUCCUUUGAGAACUAUUUUGUACUUUCAAUAAUUUCAUGCAAACACACGAAUGUGCUCUCUCUCGCUCUGUGAAUUGGAAAUUGGAAACAGAUGAUUAAACAUGGUGGCUUCAAAUUAUCACAUUUGGGGUGC